rfam:Bacilli bacterium VT-13-104 contig042, whole genome shotgun sequence.
UUCUUAUCCAGAGAGGUGGAGGGACUGGCCCUUGGAAGCCUCGGCAGCGGACUUGUAAAAGUACUGUGCCAAUUCCAGAAGCAAUAAGCUUAGAGAUAAGAA